rnacentral:tRNA from 1 species
UCCUGAUGGCUGAGAUGGUAAAGCGUCUGCCUGCAAUGCAGGAGACCUGGAUUUGAUCCCUGGGUCGGGAA